GAUGAAGAACGCAGCGAAAUGCGAUAAGUAAUGUGAAUUGCAGAAUUCAGUGAAUCAUCGAAUCUUUGAACGCAUCUUGCGCUCCUUGGUAUUCUGAGGAGCAUACCUGUUUGAGUGUCAUUAAAUUCUCAACUACACUGACUUUGAAUUGGUGUGGCUUGGAUUUGGGGGGAAAAUUGUUGUGGGCUUUUUGUAUAGUCUGCUCCCCUGAAAUUGAUUAGCGGUACCUUUGUGGAACUGUCUACAGGUGUGAUAAUUAUCUACAUCUUAGACAUCUGCUGGAAUGCUGCUUUCUAAACCUUACUUGUAUUGACAAUCUUGACCUCAAAUCAGGUAGGACUACCCGCUGAACUUAAGCAUAUCAAUAAGCGGAGGA
rnacentral:misc_RNA from 1 species